UGGGGAAUUUUGGACAAUGGGGGAAACCCUGAUCCAGCCAUCCCGCGUGUGCGAUGAAGGCCUUCGGGUUGUAAGCACUUUUGGCAGGAAAGAAACGUCAUGGGUUAAUACCCCGUGAAACUGACGGUACCUGCAGAAUAAGCACCGGCUAACUACGUGCCAGCAGCCGCGGUAAUACGUAGGGUGCAAGCGUUAAUCGGAAUUACUGGGCGUAAAGCGUGCGCAGGCGGUUCGGAAAGAAAGAUGUGAAAUCCCAGAGCUCAACUUUGGAACUGCAUUUUUAACUACCGGGCUAGAGUGUGUCAGAGGGAGGUGGAAUUCCGCGUGUAGCAGUGAAAUGCGUAGAUAUGCGGAGGAACACCGAUGGCGAAGGCAGCCUCCUGGGAUAACACUGACGCUCAUGCACGAAAGCGUGGGGAGCAAACAGGA
rnacentral:rRNA from 1 species